rnacentral:rRNA from 1 species
GUGGGGAAUCUUGCGCAAUGGGCGAAAGCCUGACGCAGCCAUGCCGUGUGAAUGAUGAAGGUCUUAGGAUUGUAAAAUUCUUUCACCGGGGACGAUAAUGACGGUACCCGGAGAAGAAGCCCCGGCUAACUUCGUGCCAGCAGCCGCGGUAAUACGAAGGGGGCUAGCGUUGCUCGGAAUUACUGGGCGUAAAGGGCGCGUAGGCGGACAGUUUAGUCAGAGGUGAAAGCCCAGGGCUCAACCUUGGAAUUGCCUUUGAUACUGGCUGUCUUGAGUACGGGAGAGGUGAGUGGAACUCCGAGUGUAGAGGUGAAAUUCGUAGAUAUUCGGAGGAACACCAGUGGCGAAGGCGGCUCACUGGCUCGAUACUGACGCUGAGGUGCGAAAGCGUGGGGAGCAAACAGGAUUAGAAACCCGUGUAGUCC